UACGGAGGGUGCAAGCGUUGUUCGGAAUCACUGGGCGUAAAGCGCGUGUAGGCGGCUAUCUAAGUCUGAUGUGAAAGCCCUGGGCUCAACUCAGGAAGUGCAUUGGAUACUGGAUAGCUGGAGUACCGGAGAGGAGGGUGGAAUUCCUGGUGUAGCGGUGAAAUGCGUAGAUAUCAGGAGGAACACCGGUGGCGAAGGCGGCUCGCUGGGCCGUUCCUGACGCUGAGACGCGAAAACUAGGGGAGCGAACAGG
rnacentral:rRNA from 1 species